UACGAGGGGGGCAAGCGUUGUCCGGAGUUACUGGGCGUAAAGGGUGCGCAGGUGGCGGCGCGCGUGGGGGGUGAAAUCGCCCGGCUUAACUGGGCGGGGGCCUUCCAGACGGCGUGGCUUGAGCAGCGGAGGGGGACGUGGAAUUCCGGGUGGAGCGGUGAAAUGCGCAGAUAUCGGGAGGAACACCCGUAGCGAAGGCGGCACUCUGGGCCGGUACUGACGCUGAGGAGCGAAAGCGUGGGGAGCAAACAGG
rnacentral:rRNA from 1 species